GGAUCCUUAGCUCAGUUGGUAGAGCAACGCCUUUACACGGCGUGGGUCGGGGGUUCGAGUCCCUCAGGAUCCA
rnacentral:tRNA from 2 species